CAAUAGCGUAUAUUAAAGUUGUUGCAGUUAAAAAGCUCGUAGUUGGACCUUGGACCUGGACAGGCGGUCCGCCUCACGGCGUGUACUGUCUUGCUGGGUCUUUCCUCUUGGUGAUCUGUUGUUUCGGUAGCAGGGAACCAGGACUUUUACUUUGAAAAAAUUAGAGUGUUCAAAGCAGGCUCGACGCCGGAAUAUAUUAGCAUGGAAUAAUAAAAUAGGACGUGCGGUUCUAUUUUGUUGGUUUUUGGAAUCGCCGUAAUGAUUAAUAGGGACAGUCGGGGGCAUUAGUACUCACAUGCUAGAGGUGAAAUUCUUGGAUUUUGUGAAGACUAACUUCUGCGAAAGCAUUUGCCAAGGAUGUUUUCAUUAA
rnacentral:rRNA from 1 species